UACGUAGGUGGCAAGCGUUGUCCGGAAUUAUUGGGCGUAAAGCGCGCGCAGGCGGCCUUUUAAGUCUGAUGUGAAAGCCCUCGGCUCAACCGGGGAAGGUCAUUGGAAACUGAGAGGCUUGAGUACAGAAGAGGAAAGCGGAAUUCCACGUGUAGCGGUGAAAUGCGUAGAGAUGUGGAGGAACACCAGUGGCGAAGGCGGCUUUCUGGUCUGUAACUGACGCUGAGGCGCGAAAGCGUGGGGAGCAAACAGG
rnacentral:rRNA from 1 species